CUCUGGGCUGAGAGCGGUGGCCUCCUGAGGUGUAGUGAAGGUGGGCCGCUUGCUAAUGGGUCCGGAGGAUCUACACCACAUGACCUGAUUUUUGCUUCCUAACAUGGGCUCUGAUUCCUGACCAGAAACCCAAGUUCCUUGACCUCAAGGAUGCCUGAGAAGAUGGUCAACCUGGCUGGGUGUUUUUAAAGCGUGAAAUGAAAAUAAAAGAUACGAAGGAUAGCUGCUGGCUCCACGUGCCCGAUGGCCUUGGUCGCCUCACCCUGUGCUCGCUCUUCUCCUGCUGUCCCAGUGUGGCUGACAAGCCAGAGCCAAAUGCAUUCACAAAGUGUGGACGAGACUCCCCGUGAUCAUGGCUGUCUUUGGUUUUGGUUUGGUUUGGUUGUUGAACUGGCAAGUGCCGAUACGACCGAGGGCUCCGGCACUCCAAUGCAUUCACCUGGUGGCACAUUGGCCGGGUCCCUACCUGUGACUGCACGUUGGCUCCAACCUGGGCCCCUUGGUAAGAGUCCCCAUUGAGUGACUGCACGCCCAUGAACAAAUCUCCAGAGUUUGACAUGUUAAAAGAACUGGAAGAACCUGGAAAGGAAAGAGUGAGGCACCUGAAUCACAGAAAGGAAAAGGGUCACAAUCCCUGCAACUAACAGCCAAGAGGAAGAACGACAUGCAAAGCGACCCCUCCCCCAAAUAAACACUAAAAUAAAAAUAUCAACAGAAUCUGGUUAGUAGCAUGAAGAACAG